rnacentral:rRNA from 1 species
UACAGAGGUCCCAAGCGUUGUUCGGAUUCACUGGGCGUAAAGGGUGCGUAGGCGGUCGGGUAAGUCUGAUGUGAAAUCUCACAGCUUAACUGUGAAACUGCAUUGGAUACUAUCCGGCUAGAGGAAUGGAGGGGAGACUGGAAUACUUGGUGUAGCAGUGAAAUGCGUAGAUAUCAAGUGGAACACCAGUGGCGAAGGCGAGUCUCUGGACAUUUCCUGACGCUGAGGCACGAAAGCCAGGGGAGCAAAUGGG